rnacentral:rRNA from 1 species
GACGAACGUUGGCGGCGUGCUUAACACAUGCAAGUCGAACGGAAAGGCCCUGCUUUUGUGGGGUGCUCGAGUGGCGAACGGGUGAAUAACACGUGAGUAACCUGCCCUUGACUUUGGGAUAACUUCAGGAAACUGGGGCUAAUACCGGAUAGGAGCUCCUGCUGCAUGGUGGGGGUUGGAAAGUUUCGGCGGUUGGGGAUGGACUCGCGGCUUAUCAGCUUGUUGGUGGGGUAGUGGCUUACCAAGGCUUUGACGGGUAGCCGGCCUGAGAGGGUGACCGGCCACAUUGGGACUGAGAUACGGCCCAGACUCCUACGGGAGGCAGCAGUGGGGAAUAUUGCACAAUGGGCGGAAGCCUGAUGCAGCAACGCCGCGUGCGGGAUGACGGCCUUCGGGUUGUAAACCGCUUUCGCCUGUGACGAAGCGUGAGUGACGGUAAUGGGUAAAGAAGCACCGGCUAACUACGUGCCAGCAGCCGCGGUGAUACGUAGGGUGCGAGCGUUGUCCGGAUUUAUUGGGCGUAAAGGGCUCGUAGGUGGUUGAUCGCGUCGGAAGUGUAAUCUUGGGGCUUAACCCUGAGCGUGCUUUCGAUACGGGUUGACUUGAGGAAGGUAGGGGAGAAUGGAAUUCCUGGUGGAGCGGUGGAAUGCGCAGAUAUCAGGAGGAACACCAGUGGCGAAGGCGGUUCUCUGGGCCUUUCCUGACGCUGAGGAGCGAAAGCGUGGGGAGCGAACAGGCUUAGAUACCCUGGUAGUCCACGCUGUAAACGGUGGGUACUAGGUGUGGGGUCCAUUCCACGGGUUCCGUGCCGUAGCUAACGCUUUAAGUACCCCGCCUGGGGAGUACGGCCGCAAGGCUAAAACUCAAAGGAAUUGACGGGGCCCCGCACAAGCGGCGGAGCAUGCGGAUUAAUUCGAUGCAACGCGUAGAACCUUACCUGGGUUUGACAUGGAUCGGGAGUGCUCAGAGAUGGGUGUGCCUCUUUUGGGGUCGGUUCACAGGUGGUGCAUGGCUGUCGUCAGCUCGUGUCGUGAGAUGUUGGGUUAAGUCCCGCAACGAGCGCAACCCUUGUUCACUGUUGCCAGCACGUUAUGGUGGGGACUCAGUGGAGACCGCCGGGGUCAACUCGGAGGAAGGUGGGGAUGACGUCAAGUCAUCAUGCCCCUUAUGUCCAGGGCUUCACGCAUGCUACAAUGGCUGGUACAGAGAGUGGCGAGCCUGUGAGGGUGAGCGAAUCUCGGAAAGCCGGUCUCAGUUCGGAUUGGGGUCUGCAACUCGACCUCAUGAAGUCGGAGUCGCGAGUAAUCGCAGAUCAGCAACGCUGCGGUGAAUACGUUCCCGGG